rnacentral:lncRNA from 1 species
AUGCUGGGAGAGAUCCAGGGCUUGGAGAGUUCCCUAGUAUACUGGAGAAGUUGUGACCCGCCCAUAGUCACACAGAUAAGGUGUGUGUCAGAGGUAGAAUUGAACCAAUUUUCUUCUUGGCUCCAAGGGGGGGCAUUCUCUCUCUCCCUCCCUCCCUCCCCCCCCCUCUCUCUCCCUCCCUCCUUCCCUCUCUCUCUUUCUCUUCUCUCUCUCUCCCCCUUCUUUCUCUCUCCUCUCUGUCUCUCCCUCUCUUCUCUCUCUCUCUCUCUCUCUCUCUCUCUCUCUCUCUCUCCCUCCCUCCUUCCCUCUCUCUCUCUCUUCUCUCUCUCUCCCCCUUCUUUCUCUCUCUUUCUUCUCUCUGUCUCUCCCUCUCUUUUCUGUCUCUCCCUCUCCUUCUCUGUCUCUCUGUCUGUCUGUCUCUCCCCACCUCCUUAUCCCUUUUUUCUCUUUCUCUCUCUCUCUCUGCCUCUCAUAAAAAGCACUAUAUAAUUAUGAAUCAAUCAUCAUUCUCAUCUCAUCCUCAGAUUUUUUUCAAUGGGUAUCAUCUAUAUAUAACCCUGGAACAAGCCAAUAUCCUGUUAUUAUUCUCUUGUACUUAAUGUUCUGUGGACAAUUACACAAAAAGAGAAAAUCAAUUUUUUACCUGAAUUAAAAUACUGGGAUGUGACUUCAUCUUCUGUAGUUCACUGAAUGGAUCCUGAGUAGAACUUCAGGAUAUGGACAACAGGUAUGACUUUCAUCUUGUUAGCACGUAGGUUUGAUUUCUUCUAAGUCUCUAUAUUCCAAGUUUUUCCUUCUACCCAGUUUGGAGAUUAUGAAUACUUGGCAUUGAAAAAUCUAUUUCUUUAAAACCCUUACAUUCUGUCUUAGUAUCAAUUCUAAGAUAAAAGAGUGACAAGGGCUAGGCAAAGGGGGUUAAGGGACUCGACCAGGGUCAUCCAGCAAGGAAGAAUAUGAGGUCAGAUUUAAACUGAGGUCCUCCCAACUCCAGGCCUGGUGCUCUAUCCACUGUGGUGCCUACCUAGAUGCCUCAG